rnacentral:lncRNA from 1 species
AUGGGUGGUUUGAAUUUGGACAAACCCAUGCCAUUAAAAAGGCUUCCAUUUCACUCCCUCAUUCGCCUUUGUUGCUAGAAAUAAAAAAUAAAAAUAAAUCUUCGGUUCUUAUCAGAUUCUUGUCUCCUCACAACAUCUCUUAUUUCCCGACACAAUUUUACAAAAUGAAAAUAUGAUUCUCUCCCUUGUUCCCAACUCACAGAUCGACCGAAAAGCCGUGGGGGGUACCACGAUGUAGUGCAAUACCCCGGUGCCAUCAAGACGUUUGUAGCUGAGCUCAUAAGCACACUUAUCUUCGUGUUCGCCAGACUAGUGGUGGCAGCACUAACCCGUGCUUUUGGGUUGUUUGUGGCCAGUCGAGGAAGCUAAUAUCUCCGGGCGCGUGACUUUCGGUGCCUUUGUGGGUGGAAACAUCACCUUGCUCCGUGGAAUCUUUUACAUCAUUGCCCAACUUCUUGGGUAAAAUGUUGGGAUUGAACCCUACCAGAGUAACAGAUAAUGAAAGCCAAAACCGGAUCACUACAGUGGAUUAGUCAUAAGCAGCUGUUUACAUUAAGCUUUCCCCUUGACAGUGACUCCAACAUCUGGUAUGCUCCAAGUACUGCCCUUAUCAACAACUACUGAUCCUGUAAACUACUGUUAAGCCAAAGCACUGAUGAAGUUUAAAGGCUGAAGCUCAAUCUACUGAUGGAAUCCAAGCACUGCUGAAGAUUUAAAGCACUGCCCAUUCAAGGUCUCAUCAUCCUUUGAAGAAAGCACUGUUGCUCAAACAACAGUGGUUGACUACAUCAGUGGAAUGAAGAACCACUGUUUAUACAUCAGUGUUUAGAAUGCAAUCAGUGUCUGUAUGGUCAGUAGUUAUAGAACAGUAGAUAGAGUUUGUUAGUUUGUUAGAUGUCACUUUCAUGGUGACGUCCGCUGAGAUGCCUCAGUGGUUUGGUUUGCCUAUAAAUGGAGCAGUACCCUGUACUGUUACAUUUGAUUUUGACUAAGCGAGUUCUUCUCCUCAUGUUUAAUCCUUUCAUCUUAUGCAAUCAACCUUAGAGCACCAGGCUGAGGGGCAGUUUAGUUUUGUAAGCUUGCAUUGUAAUCUUUUGCUUUGAUUUGUAAUCUUUUGACUCUAUGAAAUGCAAAUGU